rnacentral:lncRNA from 1 species
UAUCUUGGUGCUUUCUGGAUGCAUGGCAUAAGCUAAACAGUGAGCCUCUUUCGUUAUCUAUCUCCUAAGUUCUCCUUUGGAAAAUAUACACGAUUCUCAUACAUCAGCAUACCAUCUUUCUCAACUAUAAAAUCUAUUCGAGACCCAUUCUGAACAGUAUUUAUAAUUUUCACUAACUGAGCAUCUUGAGUUUAAGCUUUACAUAUCUCACCAACUAGUAUAGGCC